GGGCUGAUAGUCUAAUGGCAGGAUGCCGCUCUUACGAGGCGGAGGUCCCGGUUCGAAUCCGGGUCAGCCCA
rnacentral:tRNA from 1 species